AUUGAACGCUGGCGGCAGGCCUAACACAUGUAAGUCGAGCGAGCGGCGGACGGGUGAGUAAUGUCUGGGAAACUGCCUGAUGGAGGGGGAUAACUACUGGAAACGGUAGCUAAUACCGCAUACCAUCAGAUGUGCCCAGAUGGGAUUAGCUAGUAGGUGGGGUAACGGCUCACCUAGGCGACGAUCCCUAGCUGGUCUGAGGGGAUGACCAGCCACCCUGGAAUUGGGACAGGGUCCAGACCCUAACGGGAGGCAGCAGUGGGGAAUAUUGCACAAUGGGCGCAGGCCGAAUGCAGCCAUGCCGGGUGUGGGAAGAGGGCUUUCGGGUUGUAAAGCACUUUCAGCGGGGAGGCGUUACCCGCAGAAGAAGCACCGGCUAACUCCGGGCCAGCAGCCGCGGUAAAC
rnacentral:rRNA from 1 species